rnacentral:rRNA from 1 species
UCAAAAACAUGGCUUAUUGAUUUUAAUUUUAAGUCUAGCCUGCCCCCUGAAGUUUUAAAUGGCCGCGGUAUUUUGACCGUGCUAAGGUAGCAUAAUCAUUAGUUUCUUAAUUAGAAGCUGGAAUGAAGGGUUGGAUGAAAAAAUUUCUGUCUCUAUUUAAAUUUAUUAAAAUUUUAUUUUUUAGUAAAAAAGCUAAAAUUAUUUUAAAAGACGAGAAGACCCUAUAGAGUUUUAUAUUAAAUUAUUUUAAUAUUUAUUGGGAUAUAAAUUUUUAAUUUAAAAAAAUAUUUAAUUGGGGUGAUUGAAAAAUUAAAUAAACUUUUUCUAUUUUUUACAUUAAUUUAUGAAUUAUUGAUCCAUAUUUAGUGAUUAUAAGAUUAAAUUACCUUAGGGAUAACAGCGUAAUGUUUUCAGAGAGUUCUUAUCGAAGAAAAAGAUUGCGACCUCGAUGUUGGAUUAAAAUGAAUUAUUGGUGUAGAAGCUGGUAUUAUUAGGUCUGUUCGACCUUUAAAAUUUUACAUGAUCUGA